GGAGAGGUGGCUCAGAUGUUAAGAGCACUGGCCUGCUCUUCCAGAGGUCCUGAGUUCAAUUCCCAGCAACCACA
rnacentral:tRNA from 1 species